rnacentral:rRNA from 1 species
AUUGAACGCUGGCGGCAGGCCUAACACAUGCAAGUCGAGCGGUAACACAGAGAGCUUGCUCUCGGGUGACGAGCGGCGGACGGGUGAGUAAUGUCUGGGAAACUGCCUGAUGGAGGGGGAUAAGUACUGGAAACGGUAGCUAAUACCGCAUAACGUCGCAAGACCAAAGAGGGGGACCUUCGGGCCUCUUGCCAUCAGAUGUGCCCAGAUGGGAUUAGCUAGUAGGUGGGGUAACGGCUCACCUAGGCGACGAUCCCUAGCUGGUCUGAGAGGAUGACCAGCCACACUGGAACUGAGACACGGUCCAGACUCCUACGGGAGGCAGCAGUGGGGAAUAUUGCACAAUGGGCGCAAGCCUGAUGCAGCCAUGCCGCGUGUAUGAAGAAGGCCUUCGGGUUGUAAAGUACUUUCAGCGAGGAGGAAGGUGCUGAGGUUAAUAACCUCAGCAAUUGACGUUACUCGCAGAAGAAGCACCGGCUAACUCCGUGCCAGCCGCCGCUGUAA